CAGUCGCCGCGGUAAUACGUAGGGUGCGAGCGUUAAUCGGAAUUACUGGGCGUAAAGCGGGCGCAGACGGUUACUUAAGCAGGAUGUGAAAUCCCCGGGCUCAACCUGGGAAUUGCGUUCUGAACUGGGUGGCUAGAGUGUGUCAGAGGGGGGUAGAAUUCCACGUGUAGCAGUGAAAUGCGUAGAGAUGUGGAGGAAUACCGAUGGCGAAGGCAGCCCCCUGGGCCUGCACUGACGCUCAUGCACGAAAGCGUGGGGAGCAAACAGGAUUAGAUACCCCAGUAGUCCCUGUCUCUUAUAC
rnacentral:rRNA from 1 species